CCGGGGGAUUCCUGAAUGCGCCUGCGCCCCUACAGUUUCAGUCUACAAGAUCCCGGCUCUCCUUUCCUCUCAUAUCGGAGCCUGCCCAUUGAAGAUCACACAGAGCCAUCCACCCAAGUACUUUUAUGACAUCAGAGCCAAAACUAGGUUUACAAUGAUAGCUACCUCCAAGAGUUUUGUUACCACUGAA